UGUCGCUGCCCAGGACACGGCGCCCCUCGCGGCCGUACCUAUUGAACAUGUUCCGGGGCAGCAGAGGAGGAAAAGGGCCCGCUCCAGCAAAGAAGUUGACUUCCUCGGCACCAGUUCAGAAGAGCCAGUAAGGGAGGUGCUGGAGGCUCUCCCUCCGGAAACAGCUGCGGUGGCGGUGGUCCACAGCAAGUAUUGGACCGAAGAGUGGAGGGACCACACCGCCUCCUGCACUGCUGAAGACUUGGUGGCGGUGAACAGCGCCUGCGUGGCCCGGGCACUAAGCACAAGUAUCCAACUCGAGGGCUUGGUGAAGGAUCUAAACUCCAAGAGGGAGGACCUCGCCAAGCGCCUCGAGGAGGCGAUGCAUUACGGGGACGCUGUGCGAGCUGCCCAGGCCAAAGCUGCCAAGGCAGAAGAGGAAAAGAGAGCUGCUGAGGUCCAGCUCGCUGCUUCGCAGGCGGAGGUGGAGCGGCUGAAAAAAGAGCUCUAUGAGGUGGAGUGCCAGGUGGCUGUGGUGACUCGGCGGCUUGACCACGCUAAUGAGCACCACAAGCUUGCCACUGAUGCCCUGGAGGCCUCCAACAGAGAAAAAGCGGAGCUGAAGCAGCAAGCAGAGGCCCAGUCAGUGGAGAUUGCCUCUCUGAGGGAGGAGUUAAAGUCAGCGGGGGAGGUGGCGGUUCAAAAUUUUAUUGAUCACUUCGAGGACCACCCCCUUUAUGACGACUUCGCCAACUUCUGGGCCUCGUGGAGUGCCCAGAGCCUAUUGGGUCGGCUGAAGGAGGUGCACCCCACACUGGACAUCUCUCAACUAGAGGCUGAGUUCGGGGGACCCACUGGAGGUCGGCCUGACAAGGUUACCGAGGAGGUUCCAGAGGCCCAGGAGGCGGCCAGUGCUGAAGUUCCUCCCACAGAUUAGGGUUUCCUUUGUAAUGGCUUCGGCCCCCAUGUACUUCAAUUUCAUGAAAUGGAAAAUUUUGUUAAAUUUCUUUUUCAAGUUCUUUCGCUUCUGCUUCUUUGUAUCUCUUUUUGUUUUAUACUUGUAUGAAUGACAAACAUUAGGCCGACUGCCUCGUGACAAUGACCAGUUAACAAUUGUGAAUCGGUCUCCUUAAGCGAACACAAGUCAAGGAGGUGCACCCUACACUGGACAUCUCUCAACUAGAGGCAGAGUUCGGGGGACCCACUGGAGGUCGGCCUGACAAGGUUACCGAGGAGGUUCCAGAGGCCCAGGAGGCGGCCAGUGCUGAAGUUCCUCCCUCAGAUUAGGGUUUCCUUUGUAAUGGCUUCGGCCCCCAUGUACUUCAAUUUCAUGAAAUGGAAAAUUUUGUUAAAUUUCUUUUUCAAGUUCUUUCGCUUCUGCUUCUUUGUAUCUCUUUUUGUUUUAUACUUGUAUGAAUGACAAACAUUGGGCCGACUGCCUCGUGACAAUGAUCAGUUAACAAUUGUGAAUCGAUCUCUUUAAGCGAACAUGAGUCAACACUUAAGUGACCCCUAACCUUAACUUCUUAAUAAUCUGAGGCCAGAGCAAUUAAGAAAAUGCGAGGAAACGUUUGUUCAUCAGCUAAUAAGUGGUGAUCGAAUCACUGAACAUUUUUAAGAACUGAGGAAACCUUUCCCUGGCUGAUCCGGUUUGGAACUGAAAAUUCAUUACUGAAGAUAAGUUACACCUCUUUACAACCAACGUCGGAUCAGGACAACUGAUUUAGUCAUGACAACCUAGGAUCAAAUCGGAACAUUCUUGUUACUGGUAAUAUUUUCUCAAGUGCUCGAUGUUCCACUUGUGAGGUAACACCCUUCCUGACAUAUCUUCGACCUCGAAAGUACCAGGUCGGGAUUCUCCCNCCCACACUGGACAUCUCUCAACUAGAGGCAGAGUUCGGGGGACCCACUGGAGGUCGGCCUGACAAGGUUACCGAGGAGGUUCCAGAGGCCCAGGAGGCGGCCAGUGCUGAAGUUCCUCCCACAGAUUAGGGUUUCCUUUGUAAUGGCUUCGGCCCCCAUGUACUUCAAUUUCAUGAAAUGGAAAAUUUUGUUAAAUUUCUUUUUCAAGUUCUUUCGCUUCUGCUUCUUUGUAUCUCUUUUUGUUUUAUACUUGUAUGAAUGACAAACAUUAGGCCGACUGCCUCGUGACAAUGACCAGUUAACAAUUGUGAAUCGGUCUCCUUAAGCGAACACAAGUCAGCACUUAAGUGGGUUGGAAGUGACCCCUUACUUUAACCUCUUAAUAAUCUGAGGCCAGAGCAAUUAGGAAAAUGCGAGGAAACGUUUGUUCAUCAGCUAAUAAGUGACGAUAGAAUCACUCAAAUGAACAUUUUGAAGAACUGAGGAAACCUUUCCUUGGCUGACCCGGUUUGGAACUGAAAAUUCAUUACUGAAGAUAAGUUACACCCCUUAAAAACGGUGAUUCCAUCAUUUAAUAAUCUUUACAACCAACGUCGGAUCAGGACAACUGAUUUAGUUAUGACGACCUAGGAUCAAAUUGGAACAUUCUUGUUACUGGUAAUAUUUUCUCAAGUGCUCUAUGUUCCACUUGUGAGGUAACACCCUUCCAGACAUAUCUUCGACCUCGAAAGUACCAGGUCGGGAUUCUCCCCGAAUGCGGUACGGGCCUUCCCAGUUUGGGCUAAAAACUCCUGACCCGGUUGGUUUCGAAGAUUGGAACACCCUUUUGAGAACAAGGUCGCCCAAGCGGAGAGUUCUGUUUCUAACCUUGGAGUUGUAAAAGCGGGUCAUCUUACGAUGGUAUUUCGCUAAGGUUAUCUGGGAAGCGUCUCUCUUCUCCUCAAGGAGGUGUAGUUCACUUAUGCGCGCCUCAUCGUUGCUGAUCUCAUUGAAAUGUAUCCGCCGAUGUGAUGGGACACCGACCUCGACCGGACUCAUCGCUUCGGCUCCGUAGGUCAUUGAGAAUGGGGUCUCACCCGUUGCGGUCCGGCAAGUCGUUCUGAUGGCCCAGAGGACGUGGGGGAGUUCGUCAACCCAUGCGCCUUUUGAGGCAUCCAGUUUCCUUUUCAGGGUGUGCUUGAUAGUCUUGUUCACUGCUUCGACCUGUCCAUUUGCCUGAGGAUGAUGCGGAGUCGAGAAGUCUUUCUUUAUGCCUAGUUCGUCGCAUAACUCUCGCAUCUUCCUGUUGUCGAACUGCCGCCCAUUAUCAGAGACAAUGGAGUGAGGGAUGCCGAACCUGCAGAUGACGUUUUUCCAAACGAACUUCGUAGUGUUGGCUUCGGUGAUUCGGGCAAGGGGUUCUGCCUCGACCCACUUAGUGAAGUAGUCGAUGGCGACAAUGGCAAAAGUUGCGCUCCCUCUACCCUUUGGUAGCGGACCAAUGAAGUCGAUGCCCCACUUGGCGAACGGCCAAGGGCUGGUCACUAUGGAGAGGCUCUGCGCAGGCAGUCUUUGUACGUUCGAGAAGCGCUGGCAUUUGUCACAUUUCUGGACAAAUUGGCAAGCAUCCCUUUUCAGGGUUGGCCAGAAGUAGCCCUGACGGAGGACCUUGUGUGCCAGAGCCGUCCCUCCUGAGUGAUUUCCGCAGAUCCCUUCAUGUAUUUCUCUGAGUACGUAGGUGGCCUCUUCGCCGCCCACACAUCGAAGAAGGGGAGAGGCAAAGCCUCUCUUGUAAAGGGUUCCUUCGUGGAGGACGAAGUGUGCGGCCCUUCUUCUUAACUUCCUUGCUUCACUUCUGGAAGCAGGCAGCGUUUGCUCUUUUAGAUACGCCAUUAUGGGCUGCGUCCACAAUGGGGUGACUUCUAUCCACAGCAACUCCUCACCUUCGAAGGUGGAGGGCUUUGAUAAGUGCUCAAUGGGGACGAUGUUCAGAAGCUCUGAGUUCACGCUGCUGGCCAAUUUUGAGAGGGCAUCUGCAUGAGCAUUCUCCAGACGAGGGACUUGAGUCAGUUCGAAUUUUUCGAAAUGGGGAAUUAUGUCCAGAACCAGCUUCAAGUAUGCGAGCAUGUUAUCAUCUUUGGCCGCGAAGUCCCCAUUUACUUGAUUCACCACGAGCUGAGAAUCACUGCUUGCCAGAAGCUUCCUGACCUGCAUUUCCUUGGCGAGCC
rnacentral:lncRNA from 1 species